AGGGACCUGGCCUGCUUAGGGACUCUUGCUCCAAUCGGGUCCGAGGCUGGUGAACACCUCGCCCACAGAGGACCAAGCUCAGGCCUCCCGGCACUAAUGGUUAUAAAGAGGUAUACCCAUCUGCUCCAUGCCACCUCCGCCAAAGAUGGGCAAUGGAAUGAAAAGAAAAAGCAAACACCAAGCGCCGCGGCAGUAAGAACUCGUGCAGAUAGUAAAGGUAAUUCAGGUGAAGCAUUGGCCAAACAUUUGGUGUAAUCAUGGGGUGAAGACAAUGCUUUGGGGAAGCCAAGGAGCCUGGAUCCCUGACCACUUUUGAUCUGCCUUACAGCCCUGGUCCUCCUGCGUGGACUGAUUUAUGAGAAGGAAUGAAGUUCAAUAUUGUUCAAGCCACUGUAUUUUUUUGGCAUUAUCAUAGCCCAGACUUUAUCCUAAUUAAUCCAUGUGCCCCUUGAUGUAAAAUUAGAUCUUCUUUUCUCAUGAGGUUUGUGUUUUAAAACAAUGAUUUUUAAUCUGUGGGUCACAGGACCAUGAUGGUCUUUGAUGUUAAUACAAAAGAUCAUGGAAUUUGAAUCCCUAAUAGGUAAUGUCUGCAGACAAAAACCUGGUUGACAAAUAAUGACUACAAUUUUUGAGCUAUGUAUGAUGUGGUUAUAAAACAAAAUUUAUUUAAAAUUCAUUAAUGAAUUUCUUGAAAUGCAGAUAUGUUGGUGAUGAAUAUUUUAGCUUUGUACAUCUGAAAAAGUAAGCCUUUUUCACCUUUGUUUUUGUAAUAUUUUUUUCUCUGAUAAAGAAUCCAGGUUGAC